AGGGAAACCGAGUCUUAACUGGGCGUUAAGUUGCAGGGUAUAGACCCGAAACCCGGUGAUCUAGCCAUGGGCAGGUUGAAGGUUGGGUAACACUAACUGGAGGACCGAACCGACUAAUGUUGAAAAAUUAGCGGAUGACUUGUGGCUGGGGGUGAAAGGCCAAUCAAACCGGGAGAUAGCUGGUUCUCCCCGAAAGCUAUUUAGGUAGCGCCUCGUGAACUCAUCUUCGGGGGUAGAGCACUGUUUCGGCUAGGGGGUCAUCCCGACUUACCAACCCGAUGCAAACUGCGAAUACCGAAGAAUGUUAUCACGGGAGACACACGGCGGGUGCUAACGUCCGUCGUGAAGAGGGAAACAACCCAGACCGCCAGCUAAGGUCCCAAAGUCACAGUUAAGUGGGAAACGAUGUGGGAAGGCUCAGACAGCCAGGAUGUUGGCUUAGAAGCAGCCAUCAUUUAAAGAAAGCGUAAUAGCUCACUGGUCGAGUCGGCCUGCGCGGAAGAUGUAACGGGGCUAAACUGUGCACCGAAGCUGCGGCAGCGACGCUUAUGCGUUGUUGGGUAGGGGAGCGUUCUGUAAGCCUGCGAAGGUGUCCUGUGAGGGAUGCUGGAGGUAUCAGAAGUGCGAAUGCUGACAUAAGUAACGAUAAUGCGGGUGAAAAGCCCGCUCGCCGGAAGACCAAGGGUUCCUGUCCAACGUUAAUCGGGGCAGGGUGAGUCGACCCCUAAGGCGAGGCCGAAAGGCGUAGUCGAUGGGAAACGGGUUAAUAUUCCCGUACUUGGUGUUACUGCGAAGGGGGGACGGAGAAGGCUAUGUUGGCCGGGCGACGGUUGUCCCGGUUUAAGCGUGUAGGCUGGUUUUCCAGGCAAAUCCGGAAAAUCAAGGCUGAGGCGUGAUGACGAGGCACUACGGUGCUGAAGCAACAAAUGCCCUGCUUCCAGGAAAAGCCUCUAAGCAUCAGGUAACAUCAAAUCGUACCCCAAACCGACACAGGUGGUCAGGUAGAGAAUACCAAGGCGCUUGAGAGAACUCGGGUGAAGGAACUAGGCAAAAUGGUGCCGUAACUUCGGGAGAAGGCACGCUGACACGUAGGUGAAGU
rnacentral:rRNA from 2 species